UUCAGGUUGUGCUGCCAAAUAUAAUGCACCAGUAACACUACUGGCGACACAUUACCAAGUACGGAUAUUAUAAUUUCACUUGUGAACAGGAAUUAAGACCUUCUGGUUUACUGCAAGCUAAAUAAUGUUUUCAGAUCCAUAUGACAAAGGCGAGCCUCCAAUCGUUAUAAACAACCCGUUAACCAACCCAAACGACGUUUCUGUUGAUUGCUGGAGUGGGUGCCCUGGUAUGACCACUGAUUCCACUCACAGACUGUACGAAGAAACAUUGGUCAAGCUAAAUAUAUAAGAACGAUGGUUCGGGCGAUGUCGGCACAGUUAAACUGAUAGAUCAGCUCUCCUGUCUAAUCAGCGGACUGCUUGAAGUGGAAUACGUUACCUCUAGGCGAGGUACACAACAGGUACUGUUUCCAGGUCACCUUGACAACAAGAAUUCUACAAAGGAACACUGCAUCCACUGGAAGUGUGUUGUGAAGACUUAUUAAAGUUCACUUAUGUGAAGCUGUAUUAUUGUUUCUUGGAUCAUUCCACUUUAUUUUUACCAAGGUAUCA
rnacentral:lncRNA from 1 species